UUAUUGCACAUUAUUUAUCAAUUACAUAAGAACACCCAAGUUUUAGAGCUCAACCUGAAUGAACAAACAAAUAAACCAAACAGAAUUCAUAUCUUCCGUCCAUUCCCACAAUAACAAAUCUACCCAGCUAUACAAAAUAUAUUCACAAACACAAUCAGUUUAAUUUCGCUAUUUUAGAAUUGGGGAUAUUAUUGAAUCUGUGUCCUCAAAAUUGGGCAAUUUUUUUUUGGGUUGGUAAAGAUCAUGAAUCUCAGGAAGAGAAUGAUUUUCUAAGGAGAA
rnacentral:misc_RNA from 1 species